rnacentral:rRNA from 1 species
GACGUAGGGCGCGAGCGUUGUCCGGAUUUAUUGGGCGUAAAGAGCUCGUAGGCGGCUUGUCGCGUCAACUGUGAAAACCCGUGGCUCAACCAUGUGGUCUGCAGUCGAUACGGGCAGGCUAGAAUUCGGUAGGGGAGACUGGAAUUCCUGGUGUAGCGGUGAAAUGCGCAGAUAUCAGGAGGAACACCGGUGGCGAAGGCGGGUCUCUGGGCCGAUAUUGACGCUGAGGAGCGAAAGCUAGGGGAGCAAACAGG